rnacentral:lncRNA from 1 species
AAAAAAAUUAUUUAUAACGAUUGUAAUAAGAAAAAAGAAAAUUGCAACAAUGUAAAUAAUAAUACUACUACGGAUGGUAUUAUGACAACGGUAAAAAAACGAUAAAUAUUAUACACAUAAACAAAAUACAUAUUUACAAGAUAAGGCUACUAACAUGACACAUACCCAAAAUGCGUCUAUACAAAACCAUUUUAACUUGAUUAACUAUUUAUAUAAAGAAGAAUGCGAAAAAUAUAAAAUAGAAAAAAAGAAAAAGAAAAAAAAGUUUAUAUAUUUCAACCAUUAUACAUCGAUUCAAUAUUAUAUUCAAAAACAAAAAAUGAAAGAAACUGUUAUUAAUUUGAAUUAUUGUAGAAAAAAUUAUUUGCGUUUUUUUUUUACUAAAUGGUAACAAUAGUGAAAAAAACAAUAAUAACAUGCAAAAAGGCAACAAUAAUAGCAACAAAAACUAUAUGGUAGGCCUUGAAAUAUCUACUUUAUUCGACAACUUAUUAAAUAAAAUAUUCAUAACAUACAUUUACGAGUUUCUUCAAAAGAAUAAUUAUUACUUUUUAAAAAACAUUUUAUUUUAUAAUGAUAACGAUGAAGGUAGUUAUAAUAACAGCAAUGACUAUAAUAACAACUCAAAUGACAUAAGUGCAAUUAGAACGUCUAUUAAAAAUCAAAAAAAAGAUUUACUGAUAAACGUUUUCGAAGUUCUAAAAUCAAAAAAAUAUGACAAUAAUGUGAGUGAGUAUGAUAAGGUACUAGGAACGGGUUCCACAAAUGUUGACCCAUAUGACAACACACCCAACCCAGACCAAACAAAACAUAUAUACAAAAGCUAUAAUAAAAAAUUAGAUUUAACAAAAAUUACAGAAAAAAUAAAACAUCCUUUUUUAGCUACCUAUUUUUACAACAUUAUUUUUAUUUUAAGACAUAUUAAACUAUAUAUUGAUAAAUCUUUAUUUUAUAUAAUAAUACAUUUAUUUGAAAAUUCGUUUACAAAUAUUAUUGAAAUAUUAACAAUGAAAGUAGUAACAAAUGCAAAUUUAUUUUUUAAAUAUUCUAUAUUUUAUUUUAUCAUUGAAAAUCUUUUUAAUAUUAUUUUCCCUUAUACAUUUUCAUUCCUUUCGUGCGCUUUCGAAAUGAGCCUUACAAAUUCAACGGAAAAAAUACUUAACGUUCUUAGUAACUUUUCUAUGUAACCAAUAAAAUAGGAACUGUUUUCUGUUUUUUUAAAUAG